GAGGGUACAGCUGAGUGGUAGAGCGCAUGCCUAGCAGGCAUAAGUUCCUGGGUUCAAUCCCCAGUACCUCCA
rfam:Camelus ferus unplaced genomic scaffold scaffold841, whole genome shotgun sequence.